GCAUGCACUUUUCAGCCUUAACAUACACGCUAUGUUGCCUUUCAACCAUUAAUGUAUAGAAUGUGCAUUGUAGAAGAUUUGUUUUUGGCCGAUUUUAAUGGCCUAAUGUUUGAUAAUGUGUUCCGUUUUGGCUUUUACAGAUUUAUUGACCAGAUGUCCUGGAAGUGCCCCCUGAUGUAGACCCAGUUGUUGGGUAGCCACCCACGCACGUUGACACAGCCCCCAGCAGUGGGCACCCAUGGGGAUGGACCCAGGAGUGGAGGAUGACCCAAUAGGUGGUGGGUAGCCACCCAUGCACGUUGACACAGCCAGCAGCGAGUACCCAGGGCGAUGGACCCAGAAGUGGAGGAUGAUCCAAUAGGUGUGAGGAAAAGACGCAUACUAGAGGGAGUCGAGGACUUGGCUGGCCUACAAAAUGUCACUAAGGGAUGCAACUGAC